UUGCUCAGGCAGCACAUAUGACAAAUUGGAAUCGAUACAGAGAAGAUUAGCAUGGCUGUGCCAAAGGAUGCCAUGCACAUUUGUGUUAUAGCUUGGGCAAGUCAAU
rnacentral:snRNA from 1 species